rnacentral:rRNA from 1 species
AACGAACGCUGGCGGCAUGCCUAACACAUGCAAGUCGAACGAGACCUUCGGGUCUAGUGGCGCACGGGUGCGUAACGCGUGGGAACCUGCCCUUAGGUUCGGAAUAACUCCCCGAAAGGGGUGCUAAUACCUGAUAAUGUCUUCGGACCAAAGAUUUAUCGCCUUUGGAUGGGCCCGCGUUGGAUUAGCUAGUUGGUAGGGUAAAAGCCUACCAAGGCGACGAUCCAUAGCUGGUCUGAGAGGAUGAUCAGCCACACUGGGACUGAGACACGGCCCAGACUCCUACGGGAGGCAGCAGUGGGGAAUAUUGGACAAUGGGCGAAAGCCUGAUCCAGCAAUGCCGCGUGAGUGAUGAAGGCCUUAGGGUUGUAAAGCUCUUUUACCCGGGAUGAUAAUGACAGUACCGGGAGAAUAAGCUCCGGCUAACUCCGU